UAUUCCAGUAUCCAGAUCCGCACGUUGC
rnacentral:piRNA from 1 species